rnacentral:rRNA from 1 species
GUAGGGUGCGAGCGUUAAUCGGAAUUACUGGGCGUAAAGCGUGCGCAGGCGGUGAUGUAAGACAGAUGUGAAAUCCCCGGGCUCAACCUGGGACCUGCAUUUGUGACUGCAUCGCUAGAGUACGGUAGAGGGGGAUGGAAUUCCGCGUGUAGCAGUGAAAUGCGUAGAUAUGCGGAGGAACACCGAUGGCGAAGGCAAUCCCCUGGACCUGUACUGACGCUCAUGCACGAAAGCGUGGGGAGCAAACAGGAUUAGAUACCCUGGUAGUCCACGCCCUAAACGAUGUCAACUAGGUGUUGGGGAAGGAGACUUCCUUAGUACCGUAGCUAACGCGUGAAGUUGGCCGCCUGGGGAGUACGGUCGCAAGAUUA